rnacentral:lncRNA from 1 species
UAGAACCUGGGCACAGCGUUGUAGUUCUUUACAUCUCCUAUGCGAUACAUAUACAGGAAGUUGCAAUGACUAGGGGAGGUCACACUCACUAUUGAGACAACCUGUGCCAUAUAGAACUAACGAUUUAAACAAACCGUUUACUUUUUUUAGUCAAGUUUUAGGACUGUGUAACAACAAGUGUUAAAAUUGGAAAAAUAAGUGAAUUAAAUGACAUUGUGUUUUAAUAAAUUGUGAUAGCAGGUGUUGAUGUUGGCUAUUGAUUUACUAUAUUAAAUUGUUUGUCAAAUUAUCCAUAACUAGCAAUAACAUCGUGUAUUUCCUAUAACACGCGGAUAAUAUUCAAACAAAGGUAACAGAGAUUCUUUCGUCUACAUUCGACAAAAAUGAAAUAUGUUGUUUGAACAACUACAACUGUAUACAGAUCAGAUUAUCCCUGGAUGAACGUGGUCCUGAUUAUGAAGAAUUUUGUUAAAUUCGAUCUGGUUAUCAUUUCGCAUGAAUAACGACUUGUGAGUUGUCUCACUUACUUCUUAAUUUAGUUAUCUUUCUUUGCUUGGUAACUGCUUGACUUUGUUUCAAGUGCGUUUACUUUGUUAUUAAUUUUCUAUUGAUAGUUUUGCUCUACAUCCUGUCAUCCGAAGGUGUAUUCUCGAAAUAUAGAUAACAUGUUAUCUAUUUUAUGACAAUCCCUAGAAACCAUAUUCUGCUAUCAACAAGCCAUUGCCACGUGAAAAUAAGUCCGAUGUUAUCUUUGUGAUCGUUGCUUCAUUUACGUUUGCAACAUUCAACUACAUUUUUGUUCCGUUAUAUAUAUUGCGAUUUCCUUUUAAUUGCAUUUAUUAGAUAUUUUAUUAGUGUCUAAUUAGAAAGAUUUCUUCUAUUAUGUCUAGUGUCUAGACAAACUUAAUCUUUGUAAUACUCUUAUACAAAAUAGCAGCUGUUGCAUCUAAACCUAGAACUGUAAACAAUGUUUACAUUUUAUGCUAGAUCUAA